rnacentral:lncRNA from 1 species
AUAUCUCCUCCUCCAUUCCCGACUUGAAACCGGUAAACACAUGCUUUGGUGACGGCUCCGACGGUAACGACUGUAGUUGUAACGGCGGUUAUUGUGAAACUGAGGUUGAUACCUAUUAGAGUGAGGACAAACAGGACAGUAAUAGUUAGGAGACCCAUAUGAUUUGCUUUAUCUCUUUUGUUCUUCUACAUAUUACUAUCAUAAGCAGAAUUAUAAGUUAUAUUUAGUUGUCUUGUAUGGGAAUAAUAGAAGUUACGUUAUUGGAACAAAAAAUAAGGGGAGGUCAAGAUUUGAAU